rnacentral:tRNA from 1 species
GCUUCUAUAGCACAGUGGUAGUGCGUUCGCUUUGUAAGCGGAAGGUCGCGAGUUCGACUUUCUCUGAAAGUU